rnacentral:rRNA from 1 species
CGUGUAGGCGGUUUAGCAAGUCAGAUGUGAAAGCCCUGGGCUUAACCCGGGAAGUGCAUUUGAAACUGCUUUACUUGAGUAUGGGAGAGGAGAGUGGAAUUCCUGGUGUAGAGGUGAAAUUCGUAGAUAUCAGGAGGAACAUCUGUGGCGAAGGCGACUCUCUGGACCAAUACUGACGCUGAGACGCGAAAGCGUGGGUAGCAAACAGGAUUAGAUACCCUGGUAGUCC